UACAGAGGUCCCAAGCGUUGUUCGGAUUCACUGGGCGUAAAGGGUGCGUAGGCGGUCGGGUAAGUCUGAUGUGAAAUCUCACAGCUUAACUGUGAAACUGCAUUGGAUACUAUCCGGCUCGAGGAAUGGAGGGGAGACUGGAAUACUUGGUGUAGCAGUGAAAUGCGUAGAUAUCUGGAAGAACACCAAAGGCGAAGGCAGUGUCCUGGGUGGUCGCUGACGCUGAGAGGCGAAAGCCAGGGGAGCGAACGGG
rnacentral:rRNA from 1 species